UUCUACUCUGCUUGGAAUUUAUACUGUCCGGUCCAUUAUGGUUUUCACUCCUGUUACAGCAUCAAAUGGGAUCCAUUGUAUGGAAUGAGCUGCCAGAAGAAAUGGUGGAGGUUGUUCUCAGAAGUGUUGCAGAAAUUCUGGAGACUCCAGCAAUAGCUCAGAGAUUUAGCAACUCUAUCACUGAUCCUUUGUGCAGCAAUUAGAAGCACAGUUCCAGCACAAAAAAGUCUAGCAACAGAUGAGGCACAAACAAUGGCACUGGGACAACUUGACAUCUCAGAGAAGACUCUUCAAUCUGAGGAGCCAGCAUCACAUCAGCCCAGCACAACCUCCAUCUGCAAACAUUCUCUCAUAUGCCAGUAAGGUGACGAUAGAAUCUCGGAUAUCAAGAAUUAUGAAAUUAGAAACACAAGAAAAGGGUUUCAGAUCUUCGAUAUAGCAAGAUGAACUUGGUGUAGUCUGAAAAAAACUUCAAACCUUGGAAACAGUUCACCUUGAGACUGUCCAACAGCUGCAGAGCCACUGUUGGCGCAGAGCCAUCUAGGGAAAAGGAAAAUUUAAAUCCAAAUUGGAUCAUGCUAAAAAUGAACAUUCAAAGAAUAUUAAUUUAUAAAAAAAAUCAACUGAAGUCUGUAAGUGAGCCACAUUAACAAGCCAUGGAGGCACUCAAGGUGACUUUCAUUAAAGAAGAAGAAAUCCAAACUACAGAGCUCCUACAUCUGAGGACUCCUUGAGAAAAGUUCAUUGUCGAGCAUCAAAUGGAACUUGGCUAUGUUAAAUAUAUGCAAGAGUUGGAAAAAUCUACUUGCCUGGAAGAGAUACUGCACACAUACUGUGUUAUUUGCAAUUGCACAAUGCUGUGAAGCUUCAGAAUCUAAAAAAGAGCAGUUUCUUGGGGAAAUCAAACUAUUGGAUAAGGCAACAAUGGAAAACAAAGACCUCCAAGACUCAUAAUCCAACAUCAGCUACUAGUUGGAGAAGUUCAAGGAACUCAAUUGAAUUGAAUUAGAUUUAUUGUCACAUGUACUCACAUGAGUACAGGAAAAGUUUACAAGUCACCACUUACAGGGCCAUCUUAGGUAUAAAAGUACCUAGGUACAGAACUUUAGUUAUAGAAUACAAAUGAACAUGACUAUUUCAUGAACAGGCAGAAUUGUCAACAGUCCUUAGAAAAAAACAAGAACAUGCAACUUGAAAAGGAAAGUUUACAGAGGAAUUCCACAAAUCCUUCGCAGAGACAGUCAGAGUUCUUACACAAUUGGCAGAUUAAAGGGGUACUUUGGGAGAAAAUGUCUCCCUUUUACUUGAAUAUUCAGAGCUCAAAGAUCACAGUGAGUUAUUAAUUGAGGAAAACAUUCUGUUCCAAUCCCCACAAAUAUUGAUCUUGCCUCUGAAAAUGAAACUCGUGAGCAAGUGAACAGAGAUUUUUGUUUCAGUUCAAAUAAGAUAAUGCUAGAAAAGCAAGACUUUACUAACAAAAGACAUCAUCCACAGAAAGAUUGUGAUCUUUGAAGAAUAAUUUUAAAAAAGUGACAGAGAAAGAUGCAGAACUCAAACUUUCAACAUCUAACCAGUCCAAAUUCUCAGGUGAGAUCAAGACUAAUAGGGAGGUGAUAGACUCUGCAAGUCCUCUAUUGUCCAAUAUUAUAUCACAUCUGAAGAUCAGAUCAUCGCAGAAGAGCUUGCUAAAGGUCCAACUUAAUGAAUCCUAUUUAAGAAAUGAGCAAUGGAUCCAAAGAUGUUACUGCCUACUCCAGACUAGCCUCAAGCUCAUGAAAAAGUGGGAAAGUAACCCCAGUGCUUUUAGAUUUCAUUUAUCAGAGGCUGGAACUCUAAUCUGUCAGAGUUUCCCUUCCAACGAACACUACACAUAGAUUUACCUAUCUUCAAAAUGGGUUGAGAAUAUGCUUGGAGAUUGAAACCUUGGUAGAGAGAGAUGCUGGUGGGAGGGUGGUUUGGAAAGUGAGAAUGUCAUGCUGAGUAUUCAUGGUUAAAUGUGACCGGUAAAAUUGUAAAAGAAUUGGGUGAGAUGUAGAGUAAAGGGAAUUAUACCUUUACAGUAAGUAUGGCUUUGACAAUGUACAAAAUGAACUAUGUCACAGUGAUGUCAGAUCACAUGAACAGGAUUUUCGGUCUAUAGGGCUCCAGGUAAGAUGUUCCUCUACAUAGAAACUUUCGGAGUCUCGCUCCUU